rnacentral:rRNA from 1 species
CUAAUACAUGCAAGUCGCACGGUAGGUUGAUNGCUUGCAACUAACACGAGUGGCGCACGGGUGAGUAACGCGUACGCGACCUGCCCUCAAGAGGGAAAUAGCCCUGGGAAACCGGGAUUAAUGUCCCAUGUGAUUGUAUUUCUAAGGGAUAUAAUUAAAGGAGCGAUCCGCUUGAGGAUGGGCGUGCGUGCUAUUAGCUAGUUGGUGAGGUAAUGGCUCACCAAGGCGACGAUAGCUAGGGGGCGUGAGAGCGUGACCCCCCACACGGGUACUGAGACACGGACCCGACUCCUACGGGAGGCAGCAGUAAGGAAUAUUGGACAAUGGGGGCAACCCUGAUCCAGCCAUCCCGCGUGCAGGAAGACGGCCCUAUGGGUUGUAAACUGCUUUUAUUAGGGAAGAAUAGCAUCAAUGAAUUGGUGUAUGACGGUACCUAAAGAAUAAGCACCGGCUAACUCCGUGCCAGCAGCCGCGGUAAUACGGAGGGUGCAAGCGUUAUCCGGAAUCACUGGGUUUAAAGGGUGCGUAGGUGGAAUAAUAAGUCAGGCGUGAAAGGUUACAGCUUAACUGUAGACUUGCGUUUGAUACUGUUAUUCUUGAAUUAAGAUGAGGUUGGCAGAAUGCGACAUGUAGCGGUGAAAUGCAUAGAUAUGUCGUAGAAUACCGAUUGCGAAGGCAGGCAACCGGACUUAAAUUGACACUGAGGCACGAAAGCGUGGGGAGCGAACAGGAUUA